GGAGGUCACUGCUAUUGGGAUUCGACUAAGCCAUGCGAGUCGAGAGGGUUCGGCCCUCGGCUGACGGCUCAGUAACACGUGGAUAAUCUGCCCUUAGGUGGAGGAUAACCUCGGGAAACUGAGAAUAAUACUCCAUAGGUCUAGGAUGCUGGAAUGCACUUAGACUCAAAACUUCGGUGCCUAAGGAUGAGUCUGCGGACUAUCAGGUUGUAGUCAGGGUAAAGACCUGACUAUCCUACGACGGAUACGGGUUGUGAGAGCAAUAACCCGGAGAUGAUAUCUGAGACACGAUAUCAGGCCCUACGGGGCGCAGCAGGCGCGAAAACUUCACACUGCGCGAAAGCGCGAUGAGGGAAUCCCAAGUGCUUGCACGUUAGUGUAAGCUGUUUCUAUGUUUAAAUUGCAUAGAGAGUAAGAGCUGGGUAAGACGGGUGCCAGCCGCCGCGGUAAUACCUGCAGCUCAAGUGGUGGCCGUUAUUAUUGGGCCUAAAACGUC
rnacentral:rRNA from 1 species